GAUGAAGAACGUAGCGAAAUGCGAUAAGUAAUGUGAAUUGCAGAAUUCAGUGAAUCAUCGAAUCUUUGAACGCAUCUUGCGCUCCUUGGUAUUCUGAGGAGCAUGCCUGUUUGAGUGUCAUUAAAUUCUCAACUACACUGACUUUGAAUUGGUGUGGCUUGGAUUUGGGGGGAAAAUUGUUGUGGGCUUUUUGUAUAGUCUGCUCCCCUGAAAUUGAUUAGCGGUACCUUUGUGGAACUGUCUACAGGUGUGAUAAUUAUCUACAUCUUAGACAUCUGNUNNAAUGCUGCUUUCUAAACCUUACUUGUAUUGACAAUCUUGACCUCAAAUCAGGUAGGACUACCCGCUGAACUUAAGCAUAUCAAUAAGCGGAGGA
rnacentral:misc_RNA from 1 species